AUGGAGCACCAGGGGCGCGGCGCAGGCGAGAAGAAGGGCGUCGUGGAGAGCAUCACGGAGAAGCUCCCCGGUGGCCACGGUGAUCACCAGCAGGCCACCGGUGGCACGUACGGUCAGCAGGGACACGCCGGAGUUACCGGCGAGAACAUCAAGGAGAAGCUCCCCGGUGGCCACGGUGAUCACCAGCAGACCACUGGAAUGACCGGCUCGGAGACGCAUGCCACCACGGCCACCACCGAUGGCAACUACGGGAAGUCGGGACACACCGGCACUGACGGCACCGGUGAGAACAAGAGUAUCAUGGACAAGAUCAAGGACAAGCUGCCUGGACAGCACUAA
rnacentral:rRNA from 1 species